rnacentral:rRNA from 1 species
GACGAACGCUGGCGGCGUGCCUAAUACAUGCAAGUAGAACGCUGAAGAGAGGAGCUUGCUCUUCUUGGAUGAGUUGCGAACGGGUGAGUAACGCGUAGGUAACCUGCCUGGUAGCGGGGGAUAACUAUUGGAAACGAUAGCUAAUACCGCAUAAAAUUGAUUAUUGCAUGAUAAUUAAUUGAAAGAUGCAACUGCAUCACUACCAGAUGGACCUGCGUUGUAUUAGCUAGUUGGUGAGGUAACGGCCCACCAAGGCGACGAUACAUAGCCGACCUGAGAGGGUGAUCGGCCACACUGGGACUGAGACACGGCCCAGACUCCUACGGGAGGCAGCAGUAGGGAAUCUUCGGCAAUGGGAGGAACCCUGACCGAGCAACGCCGCGUGAGGGAAGAAGGUUUUCGGAUCGUAAAGCUCUGUUGUAAGAGAAGAACGGGUGUGAGAGUGGAAAGUUCACACUGUGACGGUAUCUUACCAGAAAGGGACGGCUAACUACGUG